ensembl:lncRNA
GGGGUGCUAGAGCUAUUCCACACAGGUUUGACUCUCUGCCACCUAUAGGUGGAGCGAGGGAGCAUGAGUUGUCAUCUGUUCCUCGUGAGAGAAAAGAGAUUCAGUAACUACAAGAGUGGAAGUGGCAUCUUCCUGUUAUUUGGUGUGACUUUGGCCCCAGUGGAAGAGACUACAGCUAUAGAAGUGAAUCAUAGCUUUUCAAUCCAGUGAAGAUCUUUGUUAUUGUAAGAAGUGGAUAGUGGUACCCAUAUCCUUGAAGAUGCAGGAGUAGAGUGAUGGUUUAGAAAUAGAUAUCUCACUUCUUUGACCUUCUGGUACCCCAUUGUUAUGGUUGGAGUGCACACAAGCCACUGAAACAAUGUAUCUUACAGUAAAUUGCCCUAUUAAGUGGUUUAUAUCUGAUUUUUACCAGAUACUACCAUUUUGAGGCAGUGGAGACACCCAAGUUUGUUCCAAAACAUGGCUGACAGAUUAACACUUUGAAUUCACAAAUGUGGCUCAGUGUGAUGUGUGUGCAUCCUUCAGGGAGCAAAAUCUGAGGCUAUUCCCAGAAAUGCCAGGGUGCUGCUCUGUAGGGCUGGAAAUAAGCAAUGGACACAUCCUCACAGUAAAUCUUCGUUGCUUUUAUCACCCUCCUUGCAGAACUUUCUGUGGGAUCCAGAUUGCUUUGGUCUACUGGACAGAAUUCCAUAUUCUAGAUCUUUCCAUUUUCUUAUGACUCCAGGUUUGAUGAUUCAAUGGAUGGGAACUAAGAUUGUCUGCUGCUAUCUUGCUGUCUUAAAUGUGGAUUUUGUCUCAACACUGCCAAUCUUAAAGCAUGAAUGCCCCUGGCACAGGCUCUAGGAGAUGGUUGGAGGAAUGAGUCUUUCAUAGAACUGUGAAAGAAGUGCAGCCAAAUCAGGGCAAAGCAUGGGAGAAGAGAGGGAAGCAUGUGUGAGGCCAGGAAUAUUUGGUGCAGAGGUGGCACUUAGGUCUCUUUUUACUUCAGGCAACGAUGUUUUCCCCUCUGCUAUGCUUUUGUGAGAAAGUCAAGUUUCAAAUAAAAUAGCAAAUAACCCUAAUGAAGCAGCAAUUUAGCUUGAAUCAGCAAUAUUCUACAUACAUUUGCCUCACAGUGUGACCCGAGCAAACCUCCCCUUCGUGAGAAGGAGCAGGCACCUCAUUUGCUGCCUUUGGCUGAAGAUUUGCCAUAUUUAAGAGAACAAACAUGAUUUCCCUAGAAUCUAACUUCUAAUGUGCUAUGGUCAGACUAAGCUUUUAUAUUAGUCAUAUGGCAUUUUCCUCAGAGCCCACAUGGAAAACCCACUGUCUCGUCCUACUGAAUGUUCUGUGCAAAGUAUCAUCAAAGAAGCCAAAUGCCCUGAACUCCAUGGGAGAAAACCGCAGAGGACACAGUUCUGGACCUGAUUCCUGAGCAGGCUUGCUCAGAUCCCCCAGUGCCUCUCUGCCCAGGAUCAUCUCCAGGACCAGUGCAGGGCCCAGAACAAAUCCUCACCUCCACCCCCUAGUUUUUUUUUUUUUUUUUUUUUUUUUUUUUUUUUUUUAGGGCUGCCCCCUCAGCAUUUGGAAGUUCCCAGGCUAGGGGUCAAAUUGGAGCUACAGCUGCCACCCUACACCACAGCCACAGCAACUGGGUUAACAAUCCGGUGUUGCCGUGAGCUGUGGUGUAGGUUGCAGACGCGGCUUGGAUCCAGCGUUGCUGUGGCUCUGGCGUAGGCUGGUGGAUACAGCUCCGAUUAGAUCCCUAGCCUGGGAACCUCCAUAUGCCAUGAGAAUGGCCCAAGAAAAUGG